rnacentral:sRNA from 1 species
CUUGAGUUAGACAGUGAAAGGAUUCAGAACACAUCCCUCUUGCUGGGGGUGGAUCUGCAGAAGCUCUGUGGGAGCUGUGGGGCUUGCAGGGGUGCUGGAGUUCUGAGAGGAGCAGAAAGCUGGGGGAAGAUGAGGUGAACUAGAUGGCCCCUGUAGCCCUACCAGUUCUGAUGAUCCACACUGGGCUGCACUGCCAGGCAGGGCCAGCCUGGGCAAGAUUGCUGGAGACAAGCACACAGAAGUCCCAUGUACACAGAAAUGUCCUCACACACACUGAAGAAUAAUCCUAUUUGAAGCAGCCUCACUAUGAUGCUCUUCUUCCAGGGGCCAACUGCCUAGAAUGGAGUUCUGUUUUUGAGAACAGGAACACACAUCCUGGA